UAUGGAAGGGCCAUCGCUCAACGGAUAAAAGGUACGCCGGGGAUAACAGGCUGAUUCCCCCCAAGAGUUCACAUCGACGGGGGAGUUUGGCACCUCGAUGUCGGCUCAUCACAUCCUGGGGCUGUAGCAGGUCCCAAGGGUAUGGCUGUUCGCCAUUUAAAGUGGUACGCGAGCUGGGUUUAGAACGUCGUGAGACAGUUCGGUCCCUAUCUGCCGUGGGCGUUGGAAAUUUGAGAAGAGCUGCUCCUAGUACGAGAGGACCGGAGUGGACGUAUCUCUGGUGUUCCGGUUGUCACGCCAGUGGCAUUGCCGGGUAGCUAAAUACGGACAGGAUAACCGCUGAAAGCAUCUAAGCGGGAAGCCCCCUUCAAGAUCAGAUUUCCCUGGAACCUUGAGUUCCCUGAAGUGCCCUCGAAGACUACGAGGUUGAUAGGCUGGGUGUGGAAGUUCAGUAAUGAAUGAAGCUAACCAGUACUAAUUGCACGUGAGGCUUGGCCAU
rnacentral:rRNA from 1 species